rnacentral:rRNA from 1 species
UGGGGGAUAUUGCGCAAUGGGGGCAACCCUGACGCAGCAACGCCGCGUGAAGGAUGAAGGUUUUCGGAUUGUAAACUUCUUUUAUUAAGGACGAAACUUGACGGUACUUAAUGAAUAAGCUCCGGCUAACUACGUGCCAGCAGCCGCGGUAAUACGUAGGGAGCAAGCGUUGUCCGGAUUUACUGGGUGUAAAGGGUGCGUAGGCGGCUUUGCAAGUCAGAUGUGAAAUCUAUGGGCUCAACCCAUAAACUGCAUUUGAAACUGUAGAGCUUGAGUGAAGUAGAGGCAGGCGGAAUUCCCCGUGUAGCGGUGAAAUGCGUAGAGAUGGGGAGGAACACCAGUGGCGAAGGCGGCCUGCUGGGCUUUAACUGACGCUGAGGCACGAAAGCGUGGGUAGCAAACAGGAUUAGAUACCCUGGUAGUCCACGCUGUAAACGAUGAUUACUAGGUGUGGGGGGUCUGACCCCUUCCGUGCCGGAGUUAACACAAUAAGUAAUCCACCUGGGGAGUACGGCCGCAAGGUUGAAACUCAAAGGAAUUGACGGGGGCCCGCACAAGCAGUGGAGUAUGUGGUUUAAUUCGAAGCAACGCGAAGAACCUUACCAGGUCUUGACAUCCAACUAACGAAGUAGAGAUACAUUAGGUGCCCUUCGGGGAAAGUUGAGACAGGUGGUGCAUGGUUGUCGUCAGCUCGUGUCGUGAGAUGUUGGGUUAAGUCCCGCAACGAGCGCAACCCUUGCUAUUAGUUGCUACGCAAGAGCACUCUAAUAGGACUGCCGUUGACAAAACGGAGGAAGGUGGGGACGACGUCAAAUCAUCAUGCCCCUUAUGACCUGGGCUACACACGUACUACAAUGGAUGUUAACAGAGGGAAGCAAGACAGCGAUGUGGAGCAAACCCCUAAAAACAUUCUCAGUUCAGAUUGCAGGCUGCAACCCGCCUGCAUGAAAAUGGAAUUGCUAGUAAUCGCGGAUCAGCAUGCCGCGGUGAAUACGUUCCC